CCUACGGGAGGCAGCAGUGGGGGAUAUUGCACAAUGGGGGGAACCCUGAUGCAGCGACGCCGCGUGGGUGAAGAAGCGCCUCGGCGCGUAAAGCCCUGUCAGCAGGGAAGAAAAUGACGGUACCUGAAGAAGAAGCCCCGGCUAACUACGUGCCAGCAGCCGCGGUAAUACGUAGGGGGCAAGCGUUAUCCGGAUUUACUGGGGGUAAAGGGGGCGCAGACGGCGAUGCAAGCCAGGAGGGAAAGCCCGGGGGCCAACCCCGGGACUGCUCUUGGAGCUGCGUGGCUGGAGUGCAGGAGGGGCAGGCGGAAUUCCUGGUGUAGCGGUGAAAUGCGUAGAUAUAAGGAGGAACACCGGUGGCGAAGGCGGCCUGCUGGACUGCAACUGACGUUGAGGCCCGAAAGCGUGGGGAGCAAACAGGAUUAGAUACCCUAGUAGUC
rnacentral:rRNA from 1 species